rnacentral:piRNA from 1 species
UAUUAAUGCCCAAUCCAAGUCAUUCACUUGA